rnacentral:rRNA from 1 species
CCUACGGGAGGCAGCAGUAGGGAAUAUUGCUCAAUGGGGGAAACCCUGAAGCAGCAACGCCGCGUGGAGGAUGAAGGUUUUCGGAUUGUAAACUCCUUUUGUUAGAGAAGACAAUGACGGUAUCUAACGAAUAAGCACCGGCUAAAUCCGUGCCAGCAGCCGCGGUAAUACGGAGGGCGCAAGCGUUAUUCGGAAUCACUGGGCGUAAAGGGCGCGUAGGCGGGAUAGCAAGUCAGAUGUGAAAUCCUAUGGCUUAACCAUAGAACUGCAUUUGAAACUGUUAUUCUAGAGUAUGGGAGAGGUAGGUGGAAUUCUUGGUGUAGAGGUGAAAUCCGUAGAGAUCAAGAGGAAUACUCAUUGCGAAGGCGACCUGCUAGAACAUAACUGACGCUGAUGCGCGAAAGCGUGGGGAGCAAACAGGAUUAGAUACCCGGGUAGUC